UGGGGAAUAUUGCACAAUGGGCGCAAGCCUGAUGCAGCCAUGCCGCGUGUAUGAAGAAGGCCUUCGGGUUGUAAAGUACUUUCAGCGGGGAGGAAGGCGAUAAGGUUAAUAACCUUGUCGAUUGACGUUACCCGCAGAAGAAGCACCGGCUAACUCCGUGCCAGCAGCCGCGGUAAUAAGGAGGGUGCAAGCGUUAAUGGGAAUUACUGGGCGUAAAGCGCACGCAGGCGGUCUGUCAAGUCGGAUGUGAAAUCCCCGGGCUCAACCUGGGAACUGCAUUCGAAACUGGCAGGCUAGAGUCUUGUAGAGGGGGGUAGAAUUCCAGGUGUAGCGGUGAAAUGCGUAGAGAUCUGGAGGAAUACCGGUGGCGAAGGCGGCCCCCUGGACAAAGACUGACGCUCAGGUGCGAAAGCGUGGGGAGCAAACA
rnacentral:rRNA from 1 species